rnacentral:rRNA from 1 species
AACGUAGGAGACAAACGUUAUCCGGAGUUACUGGGCGUAAAGGGCGUGUAGGUGGUUUCGUAAGUCUGGCGUGAAAUUUUUCGGCUUAACCGGGAAAGGUCGUCGGAUACUGCGGGACUAGAGGACGGUAGAGGCGUGUGGAAUUCCGGGUGUAGUGGUGAAAUGCGUAGAGAUCCGGAGGAACACCAGUGGCGAAGGCGACACGCUGGGCCGUACCUGACACUGAUGCGCGACAGCAUGGGGAGCAAACAGG